rnacentral:rRNA from 1 species
CACCGCGGUUAUACGAGAGACCCAAAUUGAUAAAUAACGGCGUAAAGGGUGGUUAGAAUUAAUAUAAACUAAGGACGAACUUAUCCCUGGCUGUUAUACGCUACGGAAGAAAGAAGUACACAAACGAAAGUAACCUUAUAAAAUUGAACCCACGAAAGCUAGGAAA